GCCUGGCUGGGCUAAGUUGGAAGAGCAUGCGACUCUUAAUCUCAGGGUCAUGAGUUCGAGCUCCAUGUCGGGCA
rnacentral:tRNA from 1 species